rnacentral:rRNA from 1 species
AGAGUUUGAUCCUGGCUCAGAUUGAACGCUGGCGGCAUGCCUUACACAUGCAAGUCGAACGGCAGCACGGGGGCAACCCUGGUGGCGAGUGGCGAACGGGUGAGUAACAUAUCGGAACAUACCCUAGAGUGGGGGAUAACGUAGCGAAAGUUACGCUAAUACCGCAUACGAUCUAAGGAUGAAAGUGGGGGAUCUUCGGACCUCAUGCUCAUGGAGUGGCCGAUAUCUGAUUAGCUAGUUGGUGAGGUAAAGGCUCGCCAAGGCGACGAUCAGUAGCUGGUUUGAGAGAACGACCAGCCACACUGGAACUGAGACACGGUCCAGACUCCUACGGGAGGCAGCAGUGGGGAAUUUUGGACAAUGGGGGCAACCCUGAUCCAGCAAUGCCGCGUGAGUGAAGAAGGCCUUCGGGUUGUAAGGCUCUUUUGUCAGGGAAGAAACGGUGAGUUCUAAUACAGCUUGCUAAUGACGGUACCUGAAGAAUAAGCACCGGCUAACUACGUGCCAGCAGCCGCGGUAAUACGUAGGGUGCAAGCGUUAAUCGGAAUUACUGGGCGUAAAGCGUGCGCAGGCGGUUAUAUAAGUCAGAUGUGAAAUCCCUGGGCUCAACCUAGGAACUGCAUUUGAGACUGUAUGGCUAGAGUGUGUCAGAGGGGGGUAGAAUUCCACGUGUAGCAGUGAAAUGCGUAGAGAUGUGGAGGAAUACCGAUGGCGAAGCAGCCCCCUGGGAUAACACUGACGCUCAUGCACGAAAGCGUGGGGAGCAAACAGGAUUAGAUACCCUGGUAGUCCACGCCCUA